UACGGAGGAUCCAAGCGUUAUCCGGAUUUAUUGGGUUUAAAGGGUGCGUAGGCGGCCUAUUAAGUCAGGGGUGAAAGACGGUGGCUCAACCAUCGCAGUGCCUUUGAUACUGAUAGGCUUGAAUACACUAGAGGUAGGCGGAAUGUGACAAGUAGCGGUGAAAAUGCAUAGAUAUGUCACAGAACACCAAUUGCGAAGGCAGCUUACUAUGGUGUCAUUGACGCUGAGGCACGAAAGCGUGGGGAUCAAACAGG
rnacentral:rRNA from 1 species